rnacentral:tRNA from 1 species
GGAGAGGUCGCCUAGCAUGGUAGGGCGGGCAUCUUAUAAAUGUCGUUCCGAGCAUGGAAUCGUGGGUUCGAAUCCCGCCCUCUGCG